rnacentral:rRNA from 1 species
CAGCAGCCGCGGUAAUACGUAGGGUGCGAGCGUUAAUCGGAUUUACUGGGCGUAAAGCGUGCGCAGGCGGCCCGUUAAGACAGGUGUGAAAUCCCCGGGCUCAACCUAGGAAUUGCGCUUGUGACUGGCGGGCUCGAGUACGGUAGAGGGGGGUGGAAUUCCUGGUGUAGCAGUGAAAUGCGUAGAGAUCAGGAGGAACACCGAUGGCGAAGGCAGACCCCUGGGCCUGUACUGACGCUCAUGCACGAAAGCGUGGGGAGCAAACAGGAUUAGAUACCCUGGUAGUCCACGCCCUAAACGAUGGGUACUAGCCGUUUGGUGGCCGAGAGCGCUGAGUGGCGAAGCUAACGCGUGAAGUACCCCGCCUGGGGAGUACGGCCGCAAGGUUGAAACUUAAAGGAAUUGGCGGG